UAUAUAUAUGCACAUUGCUUUAUGAUGGUCACUGUGAUAUGUGUAUGUUUACAUAUCUACUAGUGUGUGUGUGUGAACAUACACAUAUCACAGUGACCAUCAUAAAGCAAUGUACAGU